GACGAACGCUGGCGGCGUGCUUAACACAUGCAAGUCGAGCGGAGAGGCCACUUCGGUGGUACUCGAGCGGCGAACGGGUGAGUAACACGUGAGUAAUCUGCCCUUGGCUUUGGGAUAGCCACUGGAAACGGUGAUUAUACCGGAUAUGCACUACUUCUCGCAACGGUUGUGGUGUGAAGUUUUUCGGGCAGGGAUGUGCUCGUGGCCUAUCAGCGUGAUGGUGAGGGAAUGGCUCACCAUGGCUUCGACGGGUAGCCGGCCUGAGAGGGUGACCGGUCACACUGGGACUGAGACACGGCCCAGACUCCUACGGGAGGCAGCAGUGGGGAAUAUUGGACAAUGGGCGGAAGCCUGAUCCAGCAACGCCGCGUGAGGGAUGACGGCCUUCGGGUUGUAAACCUCUUUCGGUAGGGACGAAGCGCAAGUGACGGUACCUACUAAAGAAGCACCGGCCAACUACGUGCCAGCCGCCGCCGUAACAC
rnacentral:rRNA from 1 species